rnacentral:rRNA from 1 species
UACGUAGGGUGCAAGCGUUAUCCGGAAUUAUUGGGCGUAAAGAGCUCGUAGGCGGUUUGUCGCGUCUGCUGUGAAAACCGGAGGCUCAACCUCCGGCCUGCAGUGGGUACGGGCAAACUAGAGUGCGGUAGGGGAGAUUGGAAUUCCUGGUGUAGCGGUGGAAUGCGCAGAUAUCAGGAGGAACACCGAUGGCGAAGGCAGAUCUCUGGGCCGUAACUGACGCUCAUGCACGAAAGCGUGGGGAGCAAACAGG